GUCACCCUGAUGUAGCAGCUGGGAAAACAGAAGCACAAGGAGACGCAGCAUCCGCCCUGGAAUGGUUGCAAUCUGGGGCAGGAUCUGAACACAGGACUCCUCCUAGCUUCCUUGGGUCUACCUCAGGGCCUGGUUCCUUUCCCUGGGGAGGCAUGAAAGGCUUACAGGCACCAAGAUCCCAAGGGGAGAGUCUGAAGGCUGGAGAGGAUGGCCUCCUCCCUAGGACCCCAUGGCCUUCACCUUCUCCUCAGGUGAGGACAGCCAUGUGGGGAUCCACAUACUACCCACACUGCCCAAACUUGUGCCCCAUUAUCGUUGCAGAGCCCUGCCUGGGCAGGAGCAGAAAGGAGGAGGGUGGUUGCCUCCAUCUGUCUGGGCUGUUGGCACUGUGGGUUUGAAGGUUGGUAGAGUCCAGGGGCCCCCCUGCUCUCAGAAAGCACUGCUGAGGCAGAGUGGGAAAGCGCUGAGGUUGAUGGAGAGCUUGAGGC